rnacentral:rRNA from 1 species
CCUACGGGUGGCUGCAGUGAGGAAUAUUGGUCAAUGGACGAGAGUCUGAACCAGCCAAGUAGCGUGAAGGAUGACUGCCCUAUGGGUUGUAAACUUCUUUUAUAUGGGAAUAAAAUGUUCCACGUGUGGGAUUUUGUAUGUACCAUAUGAAUAAGGAUCGGCUAACUCCGUGCCAGCAGCCGCGGUAAUACGGAGGAUCCGAGCGUUAUCCGGAUUUAUUGGGUUUAAAGGGAGCGUAGGUGGAUUGUUAAGUCAGUUGUGAAAGUUUGCGGCUCAACCGUAAAAUUGCAGUUGAAACUGGCAGUCUUGAGUACAGUAGAGGUGGGCGGAAUUCGUGGUGUAGCGGUGAAAUGCUUAGAUAUCACGAAGAACUCCGAUUGCGAAGGCAGUUCACUGGACUGCAACUGACGCUGAGGCACGAAGGCCAGGGGAGCGAAAGGGAUUAGAUACCCUAGUAGUC